AGCAGCCGCGGUAAUUCCAGCUCCAAUAGCGUAUAUUAAAGUUGUUGCAGUUAAAAAGCUCGUAGUUGAAUUUCGGGGUUAGUAGGUUGGUCAUGCCUCUGGUAUGUACUGGUCUCACUGAUUCCUCCUUCCUGAUGAACCUUAAUGCCAUUUAUUUGGUGUUUUGGGGAAUUUGGACUGUUACUUUGAAAAAUUAGAGUGUUUAAAGCAAGCUAACGCUUGAAUACAUUAGCAUGGAAUAAUGAAAUAGGACGUUCGAUCCUAUUUUGUUGGUUUCUAGGAUUGACGUAAUGAUUAAUAGGGAUAGUUGGGGGCAUUAGUAUUCAAUUGUCAGAGGUGAAAUUCUUGGAUUUAUUGAAGACUAACUACUGCGAAAGCAUUUGCCAAGGAUGUUUUCAUUAAUCAAGAACGAAAGUUAGGGGAUCGAAGACGAUCAGAUACCGUCGUAGUCUUAACCAUAAACUAUGCCGACUAGGGAUCGGAUGAUGUUAAUUUUAAUGACUCAUUCGGCGCCUUACGG
rnacentral:misc_RNA from 1 species